rnacentral:lncRNA from 1 species
CUUUUAGUAUGAUCUAAGAUUUUUUGUUACAAUUUAUUUCUUCAUAUGAGAAUAAUUUUAACCUUACUUCCACAGAACUGUUAAAACCGUAUAAUAACCACGUGAAUACCUUGCUAGGAUGCCCUGCAGUCUUUGGAAGGACAGGGGCAAGUGAAGAAACCUGAAGCUGAAGCUCCAUUAGCUUUGUGGCGAGUCAACCCUGGUCAAGGUUGGAGGUGGGGCUCAGAAGAACUAAACCAACAGAUACUUCCAGCUGUACACACUCAUCCCAGCCAGCGACACCCACUCUUCAGGUCCAUGGUCCCAGGCCGCAGCAAAGUUCUGAGACUAAGCUUUCCACUCAUCUUUAUAAAACAGUAAGGACAAAAUUAAAUGAAAUGUGCAAAAUAACUGCACAAACUCUGUGCUGGGUGCCUGGUGACGCGGAACCGUCGGCUGGCACGCUGCGCCCCCACGUGGAAGCUUGCAAGGUUUGGCCCCCUAGGCACGGAAGUUCCUAUCUGGCCCCUGGAAAGCAGCCCAGGGGGACCAGGCUUAGUGCCCAAAUGUACGCGCUGUGCAAAAGAGAAACUUAUGAAGUCAAGGACCUCGUGGCGUGUUAGACGAGAGCCCGAGGGCAGGGGUGGGGGUGCAGUGCUGAUGGGGAUGUGGGCCACACCCGCUAGCUUUCCUCCCCGAGCCAGAGAAGAUGUUCCUGUCCUUGAACAAGAGAGCAGACAGUUCCCC